GGGACCGGGGGGGGUGCCUAAUACAUGCAAGUCGAACGCGUUGGCCCAAUUGAUUGAUGGUGCUUGCACCUGAUUGAUUUUGGUCGCCAACGAGUGGCGGACGGGUGAGUAACACGUAGGUAACCUGCCCAGAAGCGGGGGACAACAUUUGGAAACAGAUGCUAAUACCGCAUAACAGCGUUGUUCGCAUGAACAACGCUUAAAAGAUGGCUUCUCGCUAUCACUUCUGGAUGGACCUGCGGUGCAUUAGCUUGUUGGUGGGGUAAUGGCCUACCAAGGCGAUGAUGCAUAGCCGAGUUGAGAGACUGAUCGGCCACAAUGGGACUGAGACACGGCCCAUACUCCUACGGGAGGCAGCAGUAGGGAAUCUUCCACAAUGGGCGCAAGCCUGAUGGAGCAACACCGCGUGAGUGAAGAAGGGUUUCGGCUCGUAAAGCUCUGUUGUUAAAGAAGAACACGUAUGAGAGUAACUGUUCAUACGUUGACGGUAUUUAACCAGAAAGUCACGGCUAACUACGUGCCAGCAGCCGCGGUAAUACGUAGGUGGCAAGCGUUAUCCGGAUUUAUUGGGCGUAAAGAGAGUGCAGGCGGUUUUCUAAGUCUGAUGUGAAAGCCUUCGGCUUAACCGGAGAAGUGCAUCGGAAACUGGAUAACUUGAGUGCAGAAGAGGGUAGUGGAACUCCAUGUGUAGCGGUGGAAUGCGUAGAUAUAUGGAAGAACACCAGUGGCGAAGGCGGCUACCUGGUCUGCAACUGACGCUGAGACUCGAAAGCAUGGGUAGCGAACAGGAUUAGAUACCCUGGUAGUCCAUGCCGUAAACGAUGAGUGCUAGGUGUUGGAGGGUUUCCGCCCUUCAGUGCCGGAGCUAACGCAUUAAGCACUCCGCCUGGGGAGUACGACCGCAAGGUUGAAACUCAAAGGAAUUGACGGGGGCCCGCACAAGCGGUGGAGCAUGUGGUUUAAUUCGAAGCUACGCGAAGAACCUUACCAGGUCUUGACAUCUUGCGCCAACCCUAGAGAUAGGGCGUUUCCUUCGGGAACGCAAUGACAGGUGGUGCAUGGUCGUCGUCAGCUCGUGUCGUGAGAUGUUGGGUUAAGUCCCGCAACGAGCGCAACCCUUGUUACUAGUUGCCAGCAUUAAGUUGGGCACUCUAGUGAGACUGCCGGUGACAAACCGGAGGAAGGUGGGGACGACGUCAGAUCAUCAUGCCCCUUAUGACCUGGGCUACACACGUGCUACAAUGGACGGUACAACGAGUCGCGAACUCGCGAGGGCAAGCAAAUCUCUUAAAACCGUUCUCAGUUCGGACUGCAGGCUGCAACUCGCCUGCACGAAGUCGGAAUCGCUAGUAAUCGCGGAUCAGCAUGCCGCGGUGAAUACGUUCCCGGGCCUUGUACACACCGCCCGUCACACCAUGAGAGUUUGUAACACCCAAAGUCGGUGGGGUAACCUUUUAGGAGCCAGCCGCCCUAAAGGGGGCCAAAAUA
rnacentral:rRNA from 1 species